rnacentral:lncRNA from 1 species
GCCUUUUAUGAAUAAAAUAUUCCGGCAACAUCGCUAAUCACAACACAUAAUGGCGAUCACUUAUGAAUCAUAUUUCUCCAUUCUUCACGUGUUUUUCUGCAUGUUGCACUUUCCCUUGUGUAACUCCACCCAUAGCAUUGCAAUCUUCAGCUUUGACCUCUGAUCCUUGUUAGGAAUUCUCCUAGGUAGCAUUGUGGUAACUCCGAGAUACCCCGAGUCUAGUUAGGACAUGUCCCAAGUAUCCUCUUGUCCAUGAAAAUUCCUGGUGCAAUCUUUAAACAAAAUAGUAAUUGAUUAGCUUGAGUGACCACUAAUUAAUUUGGCCUAUCAACAAACUACUAGCCAAAUUACACCAUGAACAGAACACACAUGUUAGUUUUAUGUAAUAUGUAUGCAUCUCUCGGGUAUGUGCUCCCUUACGACUGUAUCUCUAGGUAAUCAUCUCGACUGCCCGAUGCACAUCUGUAUAUGGCAGUGAUGCGCAUCCCAACACCCUUUCAGUAGUGGCGUGCUGGACGACCAGACUCGCUGGAGAUGGGGCCUGUUUUGUGCCGGCUAGGUGCACCUUGCUGCAAGGGUGCCAUGCGUACCUCGCCACACCAACCGUCAUGUUCCUCGCCGCCUCGCCGGUGUCUUAGAAGGACCGUACGCCCACUUUUAUCUCUCAAUUUUUUGAUUCAAAUUUCAAAUAGCUUACCACAUAUCCAUCAUUGAUUUGCAGCACAAACGACCGAACAUGACUAGGUAAAAUAUUUUCAAGAUCUUUGUGAAGCUGCUCCUUAAAUUCUUCAAUUCUAUUAGCUACUGAUUGAGUAAUUGUGUGUGUCAUAGUUUUCACAUCAGAAUCAUACUUGAUAGCUACACACACAUCAAUUAGAUGAGAAAUUUCUUCGGUUGACUUUUUUACCUCGGUGCUGAUCGAAUCUGAAGGGUUCGGCACAUGUACCUUCUUGACGACGCCGAUCCUUGUCUUGCGGUAUCCAGUCAACUUUAAUUUUCGUCGCUCGACCAUCUCUUUCUUAAGCUCUUGUUCAAGCUCGCGCCGAUCAUCUUCCGACUGAUCUUCAAGUGUGACGGCGAUGACGUUCUCCGAGUCGAUGUCGCUCCCGUUCCUGGACUCGGUACUCAUCGUGUGCCUCUUCUUC